UACGUAGGGUGCGAGCGUUAAUCGGAAUUACUGGGCGUAAAGCGUGCGCAGGCGGUUUUGUAAGCCAGAUGUGAAAUCCCCGGGCUUAACCUGGGAAUGGCAUUUGGGACUGCAAGGCUUGAGUGCGGCAGAGGAGACUGGAAUUCCUGGUGUAGCAGUGAAAUGCGUAGAUAUCAGGAGGAACACCGAUGGCGAAGGCAGGUCUCUGGGCUGACACUGACGCUCAUGCACGAAAGCGUUGGGGAGCAAACAGG
rnacentral:rRNA from 1 species